AUUGAACGCUGGCGGCAGGCCUAACACAUGCAAGUCGAGCGAGCGGCGGACGGGGGAGUAAUGUAUGGGGACUGCCCGAUAGAGGGGGAUAACUACUGGAAACGGUGGCUAAUACCGCAUACUAUCGGAUAACCCAUAUGGGAUUAGCUAGUAGGUUGGGUAAAGGCGCACCUAGGCGACGAUCUCUAGCUGGUCUGAGAGGAUGAUCAGCAACACUGGGACGUAGAACCGGCCCCGACUCCUACGGAGGCAGUGGUGGGGAGUAUUGCACAAUGGGCGCAAGCCGGAUGCAGCCAUGCCGCGUGUAUGAAGAAGGCUUUAGGGUUGUAAAGUACUUUCAGCGGGGAGGCGUUACCCGCAGAAGAAGCACCGGCUAACUCCGUGCCAGCAGCCGCGGUAAUAC
rnacentral:rRNA from 1 species